rnacentral:rRNA from 1 species
AUGGGUACGGAGGCGAAUGUGAAGGUGUUCGGGCCGGCGAGAUCCACCUGCAUGGCGCGGGUGCUGGUGUGCCUGGAGGAGGUCGGCGCCGAGUACGACCUGGCGCACGUCCGCCUCCCCGCCGGCGGGCACAAGGGCCCCGCGCACCUCGCCCGCACCCCCUUUGGUCAGGUCCCGGCUUUCCAGGACGGCCAUCUCAUCCUUUUCGAGUCGCGUGCGAUUUCGAGGUACGUGCUCCGCAAAGGCGCGUCCGAUCUACUCCGAGAAAAUAGCUUCUCUGAAUCGGCGACGGUGGACGCGUGGCUCGAAGCGGAGUCCCACAACUUCGACAGGGCCAUGGGGGCGAUCACCUUCCAGUGCUUCGUCGUGCCCAUGUUCAUGGGCGGGACGACUGACCACAAAAUCGUCGACGAGAACCUGGAGAAGCUUAAGGCGGCCCUCGGAGUCUACGAGGAGCGUCUGUCCAGGUUCAAAUACUUGGCCGGAGAUUUCAUCAGCCUGGCGGACCUCAGCCAUUGCCCCAUGGCUCACUACCUGCUGGCCAGCCCAUGCUCGUCGGUGCUCGAUGCGUAUCCGCGUGUGAAGGCGUGGGUUGAUGGCAUGAUGGAUCGGCCGAGUGUGAAGAAGGUCAUGGAGCUUAUGGAUGCGUCGUGA